GCUUAAAUAGUUUAACAAAAAUGUUGGUUUGUGGGGCCAAAGAUAUGGAAAUCCAUUUUGAGCA
rnacentral:tRNA from 1 species